AUCUCUGGCUUCCUAGGACGCCAAUAAAAACUCUGGACACCUAAGCAAUAAUUCCCAACAGUCUUUUCUUUUUGGCCGAAGAGCGCGGGGAAUAAGACCAGAUGCAAAGGCCUCCUGUCUAGGUGACCGUGUUUGCACGAGGGCUGCUAAGGAUACAGAGCGCGUCAUCCCUGAUGCACUGCACAGCACAUGUUGCUUGGCAAUAGGUGACUCCGCUGGCAUGGCUUCCUCAUGGACACGAGAAGAGAAGAAUGGGCACCGGCCACCAGCAAAUUGAAGUAAAACCGUGAACGUGGCCUUGAGCGUGUCAUCCCCGGAGCCUGACUGCAGAAGCCUAAGGCCCUGGAAACCAGCAAGUUGGCUA